AAAUGUUUCAGAAAAUCUAUGUAUAAACAUAUCUAAACACUACCAAAAUAAUAAAAAUAGAACUAUUCGAAAGAUUCCAGACAAACCUAGUGAACCAAAACUGAUUGAAAAAGCACUGGAGAUGCCAAAAAUUAAUUUGGAUAUUGCUGAAAUUCAUGAAAAUCCCACAAAUGCAAACAAUCAUAUAAAAAACAUAGCUCAUACAGAGAUCAAGAACAAAAAUGAAUACAUAAUAUCCAAAUGGAUAAUGAAAAAAAGAAAGCAAGAAAUUUAG